rnacentral:rRNA from 1 species
UACAGAGGUGGCAAGCGUUGUUCGGAAUUACUGGGCGUAAAGGGCGCGUAGGUGGCCUUCUUAGUCAGACGUGAAAUCCCCAGGCUUAACCUGGGAACUGCGUCUGAUACUGGAAGGCUUGAGUUCGGGAGAGGAAUGUGGAAUUCCAGGUGUAGCGGUGAAAUGCGUAGAUAUCUGGAGGAACAUCUGUGGCGAAGGCGGCCAUCUGGACCAGCACUGACACUGAGGCACGAAAGCGUGGGGAGCAAACAGG